rnacentral:rRNA from 1 species
UACGUAGGGUGCAAGCGUUGUCCGGAAUUAUUGGGCGUAAAGAGCCCGUAGGCGGUCUGUCGCGUCGAAUGUGAAAACCCGGGGCUCAACCCCGGGCCUGCAUUCGAUACGGGCAGACUAGAGUUCGGUAGGGGAGUCUGGAAUUCCUGGUGUAGCGGUGAAAUGCGCAGAUAUCAGGAGGAACACCGGUGGCGAAGGCGGGACUCUGGGCCGAUACUGACGCUGAGGAGCGAAAGCGUGGGGAGCGAACAGG